rnacentral:rRNA from 1 species
CAAUAGCGUAUAUUAAAGUUGUUGCAGUUAAAAGCUCGUAGUUGGAUCUCGGGUCCAGGCUUGCGGUUCUGCUUGUGCAGAUACUACUUGUCCUGACCUACCUGCCGGUUUUCCCUUGGUGCCCUUGAUUGGGUGUCUCGGGUGGCCGGAACGUUUACUUUGAAAAAAUUAGAGUGUUCAAAGCAGGCAGCUCGCCUGAAUAAUGGUGCAUGGAAUAAUAGAAAAGGACCUCGGUUCUAUUUUGUUGGUUUUCGGAACUUGAGGUAAUGAUUAAGAGGGACAGACGGGGGCAUUCGUAUUGUGGGGCUAGAGGUGAAAUUCUUGGACCCUCGCAAGACGGACAACCGCGAAAGCAUUUGCCAAGAAUGUUUUCAUUAGUCAAGAACGAAAGUCAGAGGUUCGAAGAUGAUCAGAUACCG